GAUGAACGCUGGCGGCGUGCUUAACACAUGCAAGUCGAACGAACCUUCGGGUUAGUGGCGGACGGGUGAGUAGCGCGUGAGAAUCUGCCCUCAGGAGGGGGAUAACGGUUGGAAACGACCGCUAAUACCCCAUAUGCCGAUAGGUGAAAUGAAUUUCGCCUGAGGAUGAGCUCGCGUCUGAUUAGCUUGUUGGUGAGGUAAUGGCUCACCAAGGCUUCGAUCAGUAGCUGGUCUGAGAGGAUGAUCAGCCACACUGGGACUGAGACACGGCCCAGGCUCCUACGGGAGGCAGCAGUGGGGAAUUUUCCGCAAUGGGCGAAAGCCUGACGGAGCAACGCCGCGUGAGGGACGAAGGCCUCUGGGCUGUAAACCUCUUUUCUCAAGGAAGAAGAUAUGACGGUACUUGAGGAAUAAGCCACGGCAAAUUCCGUGCCAGCAGCCGCGGUAAUACGGGAGUGGCAAGCGUUAUCCGGAAUUAUUGGGCGUAAAGCGUCCGCAGGCGGCCUUUCAAGUCUGCUGUUAAAGCGUGGAGCUUAACUCCAUUAUGGCAGUGGAAACUGAUCGGCUUGAGUAUGGUAGGGGCAGAGGGAAUUCCCGGUGUAGCGGUGAAAUGCGUAGAUAUCGGGAAGAACACCAGUGGCGAAGGCGCUCUGCUGGGCCAUUACUGACGCUCAUGGACGAAAGCCAGGGGAGCGAAAGGGAUUAGAUACCCCUGUAGUCCUGGCCGUAAACGAUGAACACUAGGUGUCGGGGGAAUCGACCCCUUCGGUGUCGUAGCUAACGCGUUAAGUGUUCCUCCUGGGGAGUACGCACGCAAGUGUGAAACUCAAAGGAGUUGACGGGGGCCCGCACAAGCGGUGGAGUAUGUGGUUUAAUUCGAUGCAACGCGAAGAACCUUACCAGGGUUUGACAUCCUGAGAACCUCUUAGAAAUUUGAGGGUGCCUUCGGGAAUUCAGUGACAGGUGGUGCAUGGCUGUCGUCAGCUCGUGUCGUGAGAUGUUGGGUUAAGUCCCGCAACGAGCGCAACCCACGUUUUUAGUUGCCAGCAUUUAGUUGGGCACUCUAGAAAGACCGCCGGUGAUAAACCGGAGGAAGGUGUGGAUGACGUCAAGUCAUCAUGCCCCUUACACCCUGGGCUACACACGUACUACAAUGCUACGGACAAAGGGCAGCAAACUCGCGAGAGCUAGCAAAUCCCAUAAACCGUGGCUCAGUUCAGAUCGUAGGCUGCAACUCGCCUACGUGAAGUAGGAAUCGCUAGUAAUCGCAGGUCAGCAUACUGCGGUGAAUACGUUCCCGGGCCUU
rnacentral:rRNA from 1 species